rnacentral:lncRNA from 1 species
UUUUGUUUUUUGUUUAUUUCACCUGCUGUUGAUAACAAUUUUCAGAAUCUCCUAUAUCAGCUUUUCCCGCGCUCUGUCCUCAGGUUUGGGUUUUGCCUAAACACCACACAGCUGAUUUCAAAUGAUCAAAGCUUGAGUAGUUGAAUCAGCUGUGUAGUGCGAGGGUAAAAACCAAAACGUGCACCUCUUGGGGUCCUGAGGACCAAGGUUGGGAAUAGCUGAUCUAGGAAAUUGGUGGAUGGAUUCAUCAGUGAUUUUAACACCAGAUAAUUGUUGGAAAGACUAGAACCAGCUCACACCUGCUUUUACUCUGAUUUCUUAAAAAUGAUUAAAAAAGGAGUAGUUCUUUAAUAAACCGACUCUGAACAAAAAUAUCAACGAGACAUAAAACAAUUUCAAAGAAUUUACUGAGUUAGUUCAUAAGGAUGUCAUGAUAUAGGAUGUCAUGAUAUAGGUCUAGAUAGUGUUUUACAUAGGAUCUCAUGAUGUACGAUGUCAUGAUAUAGGAUCUCAUGAUAUAGGAUGUCAUGAUAUAUGUCUAGAUAGUUUUUUACAUAGGAUCUCAUGAUAUAGGCCUAGAUAGGGUUUUACAUAGGAUCUCAUGAUAUAGGUCUAGAUAGUGUUUUACAUAGGAUCUCAUGAUAUAGGUCUAGAUAGUGUUUUACAUAGGAUCUCAUGAUAUAGGAUCUCAUGAUAUAGGUCUAGAUAGUGUUUUACAUAGGAUCUCAUGAUAUAGGAUCUCAUGAUAUAGGUCUAGAUAGUGUUUUACAUAGGAUCUCAUGAUAUAGGAUCUCAUGAUAUAGGAUCUCAUGAUAUAGGUCUAGAUAGUGUUUUACAUAGGAUCUCAUGAUAUAGGUCUAGAUAGUGUUUUACAUAGGAUCUCAUGAUAUAGGAUCUCAUGAUAUAGGAUCUCAUGAUAUAGGAUCUCAUGAUAUACUGUGGAAAUCUACAUGUUUCCAUUUGGUAUGGAUUAUGGUUUCCAUCAAUGUAAUUGUCUCCAUCAUUUCCAAUCCUCAUAUAUUUUCUGGGGGUAAAUAUAUGUAUAUAAUAUUUCCCCUAACCGUACAACCACU